GCAAACUUGGUCAUUUAGAGGAAGUAAAAGUCGUAACAAGGUUUCCGUAGGUGAACCUGCGGAAGGAUCAUUAUUGAAUCCUAAUGGAUGUUGCUGGCCUUUCGGGGCAUGUGCACUCCACUCAUUUCAAUACACCUGUGAACCUAGUGUAGGGGGCAAGUCAUUGUCACCUACGUUUUUUUUACAUCACACUCUUUUGUAUAAUUGGAUGAUGGUUAAACAUACAUAAUACAACUUUCAACAAUGGAUCUCUUGGUUCUCGCAUCGAUGAAGAACGCAGC
rnacentral:misc_RNA from 1 species